UACAGCCAUAUCAUAUUGAAACACCAGUUCUUAUAUGAUCACCAAAAUUAAGCUAUGUUGACCCUGGUUAGUACCUAGAUGGGUUACUGCUUGGGAGUACCAGGUGCAGUAAG